ACGGGGUGCAGCAGGCGCGAAACCUUUACAAUGCACGAAAGUGUGAUAAGGGAACUCCCAAGUGCUCAUGCUUCGCAUGGGCUUUUGCCAAGAGUAAAUAUCUUGGAGAAUAAGUGAUGGGUAAGACUGGUGCCAGCAGCCGCGGUAACACCAGCGUCACGAGUGGGAAUCACAAUUAUUGGGCCUAAAGCGUUCGUAGCCUGUUUAGUAAAUCUUUUGUGAAAUCGUUGGGCUUAACCUAACGGCGUGCAGAAGACACUGCUAGACUUGGGACCAGAAGGAGUCAGAAGUAUUGUCGGGGGAGCGGUAAAAUGCUAUAAUCCUGAUAAGACUACCUGUGGCGAAGGCGUCUGACUAGUAUGGAUCCGACGGUGAGGGACGAAGGCCAGGGGAGCGAACCGGAUUAGAUACCCGAGUAGUCCUGGCAGUAAACGCUGCGAGCUAGGUGUUGUGUAUUCUACAUGGAUGCGCAGUAUCGAAGCGAAGGCGAUAAGCUCGCCGCCUGGGAAGUACGUCGCAAGAC
rnacentral:rRNA from 1 species